rnacentral:misc_RNA from 1 species
UUUUUUUUUUUUUUUUUGUUAUAUAAAAAUUUUUAUUGUUGUCUUAAGCAUUUUAUAGGUAAUGAUUGAUAUUUCACUCAUCUGAAGUAUCCCUUACGGAACUUGAGGUUCAACCAAGAUUGUUCUAUUCAUAAAAAAACUCUUACGCCAGGGGCAAGGGCAAAAUUCUUCUACCAAUUAGCUAUAAUCACAUAAUUUUUUUGCAUUUAAGUGCUAAAUGCAACAAUUAGACCUUGAGCUUCAGAAUAUUAAAGUUUGAUAAGGAUUCUGCUUUCAUUCUAAGAAAUUCAAUUUUAAUUGGGAAAAAACAACUGCAGAGUCUCUGGUCCAACCAAAUAAUUUAUUUUUCAUUCCUAAGGGGAAAAAGUUUCAUUACUGCUAAAAAAUCUAACAAAGAACUUUUUAAGGUCACCAGUCUUAGUUUAAUUGGGUAACAAUUGUAUUAUACCUUUGAAUACUGAUAAUGCCAUUAAAUUCAGUGGCAUAUACAUACAUUAAUUUAUCACAAAAAUGCCAAGAAAUCGUUAGCUAUCCAAGGAAACAGUAAUUCUACAAGCCAACCUCAACUCAACUUCAAUCCACUAGCCUUCUAAUCUAGAAGGCUAUGGGUUCAAUCUACAUCUAGUGAUUUUAGAAAGUGAAGCAUCAAGCAU